rnacentral:rRNA from 1 species
GACGAACGCUGGCGGCGUGCUUAACACAUGCAAGUCGAACGGAAAGGCCCUGCUUGCAGGGUACUCGAGUGGCGAACGGGUGAGUAACACGUGGGUGAUCUGCCCUGCACUUCGGGAUAAGCCUGGGAAACUGGGUCUAAUACCGGAUAGGAGCCAUUUUUAGGGUGAUGGUUGGAAAGUUUUUUCGGGGUAGGAUGAGCUGGCGGCCUAUCAGCUUGUUGGUGGGGUAAUGGCCUACCAAGGCGGCGACGGGUAGCCGGCCUGGGAGGGUGGACGGCCACAUUGGGGCUGGGAUACGGCCCAGACUCCUACGGGAGGCAGCAGUGGGGAAUAUUGCACAAUGGGCGCGAGCCUGAUGCAGCGACGCCGCGUGGGGGAUGACGGCCUUCGGGUUGUAAACUCCUUUCGCUGGGGACGAAGCUUUUUGUGACGGUACCUAGAUAAGAAGCACCGGCUAACUACGUG